UCCUUCAAUUCUUUUAUUUUUUUUCAUGAUCACUUAUCAAAAUUUCUAGCAUUUUGUCGUAGAAAAUAUUGAGGCUAGAUUUGUUUCUUUGGCUAAUGGGAGACGAAAGUUCCUAAUCUGUGAGAUUUAGUAUUCCCUUGUCUAGAUUGUUGAUGUGUUAAGAUUACUGCAACUGGCAAGUUAGCUAGUAUGGUCAUACAAAAUAUGCAAUUCCUCCAACUUUUGACUGUUUUCCUCUUAGUCUCUGUCCUUACUUUUGAGAAUUCACUUUGACUGGCCUAACAUUGCCACUAGAGAUGAAUAUGUUCAGGUUGCUUAUGUGAGUGGUACUAUUAUCUCGAGACUUGGGAAUUGUUCUUUCUUCACAGGACCAAGAGUACUUUAAGGAUUAAGACCAGCGACAGUGAUCUCUUCUCUCUCUCAGCUUCAGUUAUUGAGUCUUUCUUGUAAUCACUUGUGGUACUUCAGACUAAGAUGUAUUUUCCUCUUUCCUACUUUGAAGAGUUGUAGACAUGUAAGAGAAAUUUGUCUUUUCAGAGUUUUCUUUAUCUAUUUAGUUCCUUUGCUAUUUUAGUUACA